GGUUUUGGAUUUACCUAUGCUGCAUUCCAAGUUCCAUUAGGGGAUCAUCCAAAAGAAAACCAAGACAUAAUGCACCGAAGACACCUAUCUGUGACUCAAAGAGCAACUCAAUAAAAAUUGUCAACAGGGUCAAGAUGGAAACUUAGUGCAAUGGGAACUUCAAGGAAUCUACUAUGAUAACACUAGCAAAGACUCCUAGAAAUGAGGCAAACACAACCUGAAACAGCCAUCUUCUCUAUCUAGAAGUAACUACAUGUCCUCACGCAGUGCCAGAUUUAUCUUGAGAAAUGAUGGUGAAGGGCAAAGUGGAUGGAUUUGGUCAUAUUAUGUGCCUGUUCACUAGAGAUACCUUCAAAUUAGAUAUUGUUCUCAUUAUGAGGCCUUCAUUGACCUAAAUUAGAGAGUCUGUUAGUGUGACUCAUGACAAGCUCCACAACACUGCCAAGACAGAGAAACUUGUUAUCAGUGGGAUGACCUCCUCCAUCAUCUAGGAGCAAGACCUGUUAACUUCUAAUCAGGUGAUGCUGGUAUGUUGUAGAGUUUAUUUAUGGGUACCUUCAGCACAAUGGAGAAGGCUUAGAACUCUGGAAGGGCAGAGGACAAAAGGGUCCUCUGCCACUUUUGCUGAUGCCUCCAUGUUUGUGAUGUGUCUGAACCACAGAAGUGUGACAAAUAACUCAAAAUUGCCCGAAAUUCCUCCUUCACCAACAACUACAUAGUGCCUCUGGUCAAGGUUAUCAGUGACAACUAUUGCAUCACAGAGGGAUUCAUGGUCAUAGUCCAUGCCACCACUGCCACCCAAAAAAAUGUGAAUGGUCCCCCUGGAACGUUGAGGAGUAGUGAGCCUAGAAAUUAUCAGAACAUUGUCCCUACAUCCACUGGUCCGGCCAAGACUGUGAACAAGUCAUCCCAGAGGUAAACUGGAAGCUCAUUGGCAUGGCCUUUCCUGUUCCAUCACCAAUGUGUCUGCCAUGGAUUGACAUGAUGCCUGGAGAAAGCUGCUGGUGACAUCAGUUAUGUGACAGAGCAGGCAUUAGAGGGCCCACUAAAAGGCUUUCUGGUCUAUACUGAUAACAAGGUUCUCUCCUGUGACUUUAGCAGUAACAUUCAAUAUUUCACCUUUGAUAAAGUAGCUGACCUUGAUCUCAAUGACAACUUUGUCAAACUCAUCUCCUGUUAUGGCAAUGAAUAUGGGAACAGCAGCCCGAUGGUGGAGCUCAUGGCUUGCAUGACCUCUAAGUAGUAAGAAUCCCUGGAUUACCUACCCCAGCAACAAGAAGAGGGAGGCUGGCAGCUGUGGGGGGCCACACCUGUGCCAACUUAGCCUGCAACCCAAGCAUACUCCUUACAAUUUUCAUCUCAGAGCAGAUCCGCAAUGGAAUAGAAGAAAUUUAGGUAGUUCUACUCUUUUGAACACUGUCAAUAAAGUUCAUUGGAUAUCCCCCAAAUAAUAUAAAUAUGUUAAUAAAAGUGUGCAUUGGAUUUACAGUGAAUCAAAAGAAUGAACCAUUUAGUUAAGAUACAGGAAUUUAUUAAUAUUCCCCAUUCAUUUGCUUAUAAGUUAAAACUAAAACCAUUAAUGUGAGGUACAGGACCUCCAGUGAAAGCUACACAUCCCAAAACUACAUGGACACUGUAAAUUGGGCUUGAUGGAGAGAGACAGACAGAGAGAGAAAGAGAGAGAGAGAGAGAGAGAGAGAGAGAGAGAGAGAGAGAGAGAGAGAGAGAGAGAGAGAGAAUACAAAAUUGAUUGGGUUGGAAGGGUAUAUGAAACUGGGAAUUGUGUGAGAAAGGGAAAUAUGAUCCAAACACUUUGUGUAAAAUUCUCAAGAACUAAUACAAAUGAAAACAACAGCAAGAAAACAAUAACAACAUGAAAAAUGAAGACAUUUCUGCAAUGGCCUGAUUGUCUAUCAGUGCUGCUUCCUUCAAAUAUCUGAGUUACGUAUGUAAGCUUCAGGUGAAUCUCUGGAUACUCAAAGACACAUGGAUGCAUUAUUGAAGCUGGAGGCAUUUAAUUGAAAAAGUUUCUAUUAAUGUACUUUAAAUUGUGAAAAGCAUCAACUUAGAAGAUGUAGAUGUUAGCCAUGCCUUGAUAAGAAGUAACCUAUUUCUUAUGAGACACUACUUCAAAAUGUAGGUAAUAAAAGGUCAGCUACAUUCUUUUGAAAGAGUUAAGAGAGAUUGUUGAUUGUUUAAUCCUAUAAUAAACUUUUUAAUAGAGUGGC